rnacentral:snoRNA from 1 species
UGAGCACUCUCACCGGUCAGCCCGUGGGGCCAGGGUCUGGUAGCUGAGAGAAAGCCCUUGAUUGCGUCCUUGCCCUUGAACUGUGCCAGUGGCAGUGGCCACUCAGUGGGACAGUU